UGGGGAAUAUUGCACAAUGGGCGCAAGCCUGAUGCAGCAACGCCGCGUGAGGGAUGACGGCCUUCGGGUUGUAAACCUCUUUUAGCAGGGAAGAAGCGAAAGUGACGGUACCUGCAGAAAAAGCACCGGCUAACUACGUGCCAGCAGCCGCGGUAAUACGUAGGGUGCAAGCGUUGUCCGGAAUUAUUGGGCGUAAAGAGCUCGUAGGCGGUCUGUCGCGUCUGCUGUGAAAUCCCGAGGCUCAACCUCGGGCCUGCAGUGGGUACGGGCAGACUAGAGUGCGGUAGGGGAGAAUGGAACUCCUGGUGUAGCGGUGGAAUGCGCAGAUAUCAGGAAGAACGCCGAUGGCGAAGGCAGUUCUCUGGGCCGUAACUGACGCUGAGGAGCGAAAGCGUGGGGAGCGAACAGGAUUAGAUACCCUGGUAGUCCACGCCGUAAACGUUGGGCGCUAGAUGUGGGGACCAUUCCACGGUUUCCGUGUCGCAGCUAACGCAUUAA
rnacentral:rRNA from 1 species